GACAGAUCCUGUUAUGUUCACUGAUGGCACGAGCUGCGAUCUCCUCAACGUUCCAAGAGUAAAUAAUGGAAAGGGCUGCGAGCUCUGGGUGAAGGACGAAUACAAAGAUAAUGUCCCGUCAUGUUGCUCAUUUAUCUACGACCUUCUGUGCGCACAGGAGGGCAGCUUCAACAUCUAU
rnacentral:lncRNA from 1 species